rnacentral:ncRNA from 1 species
GAUUGCAACACUUUAACAACCUCUCUGCAGUCGCGGCUG